rnacentral:rRNA from 1 species
GAUGAACGCUAGCGGCAGGCCUAACACAUGCAAGUCGAGGGGCAGCACAGAAACAGCAAUGUUUUGGUGGCGACCGGCGGACGGGUGCGUAACGCGUAUGCAACCUGCCUUUAACAGGGGGAUAACGGAGAGAAAUUUCCACUAAUACCCCAUAACAUCGAUCAAGGCAUCUUGAUUGGUUGAAAACUCCGGUGGUUAAAGAUGGACAUGCGUUGCAUUAGGUAGUUGGUGAGGUAAUGGCUCACCAAGCCUACGAUACAUAGGGGGACUGAGAGGUUAGCCCCCACACGGGUACUGAGACACGGACCAGACUCCUACGGGAGGCAGCAGUGAGGAAUAUUGGUCAAUGGGGGCAACCCUGAACCAGCCAUGCCGCGUGCAGGAAGACGGCUCUAUGAGUUGUAAACUGCUUUUAAACAGGGAUAAAGCACAGUAUGUAUACUGUGUUGAAGGUACUGUAAGAAUAAGGAUCGGCUAACUCCGUGCCAGCCGCCGCCGUAA